GAUGAACGCUGGCGGCGUGCCUAAUACAUGCAAGUCGAGCGAACGGACGAGAAGCUUGCUUCUCUGAUGUUAGCGGCGGACGGGUGAGUAACACGUGGAUAACCUACCUAUAAGACUGGGAUAACUUCGGGAAACCGUAGCUAAUACCGGAUAAUAUUUUGAACCGCAUGGUUCAAAAGUGAAAGACGGUCUUGCUGUCACUUAUAGAUGGAUCCGCGCUGCAUUAGCUAGUUGGUAAGGUAACGGCUUACCAAGGCAACGAUGCAUAGCCGACCUGAGAGGGUGAUCGGCCACACUGGAACUGAGACACGGUCCAGACUCCUACGGGAGGCAGCAGUAGGGAAUCUUCCGCAAUGGGCGAAAGCCUGACGGGGCAACGCCGCGUGAGUGAUGAAGGUCUUCGGAUCGUAAAACCCUGUUAUUAGGGAAGAACAUAUGUGUAAGUAACUGUGCACAUCUUGACGGUACCUAAUCAGAAAGCCACGGCUAACUACGUG
rnacentral:rRNA from 1 species